GCCGCUCAUCGUCGUCUGAAUCGUCGUCUUCCUCCUCACCCUCGUCGCCCUCGGCGACGGCGUGGUCGGGCGCGAGGAGAGGUGGGAGGUAGGUGGCGGUGGCGAGGGAGCUGCAGGAGGCUCGCCGCGACCAGGUGGCGAGGAUGCGGCGGCGCUUGUUGAAGGGGUUCUCCGGCUUGGCCAGCUCGUUGGCCGCCGCCGCCGGCGACGCCGUCGCCUCGGCGAGGCUGGUGAACGACUUGGACUUGCCGGCGUAGAAGUUGGAGAGCCCCCUCCUGAACAAAUCAAACAAUUUUAGAGCUUCUUAUUCAGAAUAUAUAUAUAUAUAUAUAUAUAUAUAUAU
rnacentral:lncRNA from 1 species